CUUGCAAUAAACGGAAACAAAUAAUUUCUAGACUAAGCUUUUAGAAAUUACACCUUUAAUAAAGAACACAUGAAAUAUAUGAAGUUGAGAAACAAACAACUUCUUUUUUUAAAAAAGAAUAAUCGUAUGAUUCGGAAUCAAUAUGAGAAGAAAUAGACUGUAGCAAAUCAAUAUUUAAGUCAUUGGCUAUCCUGAGUCAGAACUUUACGGAGUCCUUCUGGACAUAAGGCCAACAUUUUUCUCUGAUGAAUCUGGGGUGGAUUCAGACCCAUCUUUCGAUAUAGACCUUGCUAGAAGCUGCUAUUUCUAGGCAAUAAGGACCAUCUGUGAGGACCAGACAUUUGGUUGGCUAUUCCUGUUACAUUUUCCUUGCUUGUAGUGAGAUUUUGACUGUGACAAUUGAAGGGUCAUGCUGCAGAGUGAAUUUUAAAAUCUAAGGGCCCUGGGCUAGAGAUACAGAUCAGUAGUUAAGACUACUUGAUGCUUUCAGAGGACCUGGAUUCAGCUACCAGCACCCACACAGUGGCUCAGAGCUAGCAUGGUGGUGACAAACAAAUGGCAUGGAGACCUCAAGAACACCACACCAUCACUGAGCCUGCCACUGUAGCAACACCACACAUCUCUGCAUGGUGCUCAGUGCUGGCCCUUGGUGCUUGCCAUCCCCGUCCAAAGACACACAGCCAGCAACCAUGUCUGGAUGAUGAUGGAAGGAUGGUGAAGAGCUGACAAGUAAAUGCACACAGAAAUACAAACACACUCACAUCCAGAUGACUCGGAGUCAGAAAUAAGCCGUGUUGUUACAGCAUGGUGUAUUACUCUUGGUAGCAUGAAGACAACAAACAUCAAACAGACACUUUGAAUACCCAAAGAAGUCAAAAUGGAAAUGACUUUCACAUGGAAACUGUUCAAGCAUAGUUUCCAAAGAUUAAUGCACUUGAAAUUGAUUUAUUUAAAACCAUUUCUAACUCCUGGAUCCUGACAUGCUUCGUUCUUGGUCAUUAAGCGAUGAACCCUUUUGAUGUUCAACCACAUAAUCACAUUAGUAAAACCCAAAUGUACAGCAAAGAAUUGUAUUAAAAAGUGUAACUGUCAAAAGAAGAUGGAAAUUAAAAGCUUUUCUGCCCAAUCAUGGAAAAUUGUAUUCUCAGUAAUUUUCUGAGCUAAAAUGCCUGAAACCACAAUCUUUCUACCAGCUUUUAAAAGUGAAGCAAACAGCAUUAUAUUAGCACCAGCUGCUGAUA